rnacentral:misc_RNA from 1 species
AAUUCCAACAGGACAAUCCAAUCUGCAGCAGAAAGGGAAAUUUUACCACAAAAUGAUUCUCGAGAGCAUUAAACAUAAAACAAUACAUAAAACUAAUAAUCCAGAAUAGUACUACUACUUUUUCUGGCAAAAAUCUCCAAUCCCCCGUCCCUCCCAGAACCCCAUCCACUCCAAAACCCAAGACAAGUGAAAAAGAAAACAUAUAACCUCGCAGCCAAAAAUGAAUGGAAAAACAAGAUACAAAUCUACAUAAAAAACUAGGGUUUUGUCGCCAUUCUCAAUAACACCACCUCAAAAGCAGAUGCUAUUAUGAAGUGAUGACUUCAAAAACUAUAGAUACCCUGAUAGUUCAAUUAGGAUAAUCAUAUGGAGAAUGUUUCAAGAGUGAACGAAUGAAAAAGGGGAUAUUUAAGGCGUCACAAGUCAGCCACCCCAGGCUAGCUUAUGAGCAUAGGAAUCUGGGCAAAGAUCCUAUAUCCUCUUCUAACCAGUCCCCACUUGCAAGCCAACACACCCAAAAAGAAAAUGGAAAGGAAAAGCAAGAAGAUGAAAGAAUGAUUACCUCCUGUGGGUCA